GCAGCCUUCAAUUCAUUUAAUUCACUGGAAAACCAUACGAUCCAUCAUAAAUUCCUCAUCAAUAGCACCUUAGUACAUACGAUUGAAGAGUCCCAAACCACCGCCACCCUCCUUUCCGGUUUUGUCUCCGCAAUUUGUUCCCCCCAUCACCGCGUCUCGAAUAGUCGCCACCGGUGCUGUGCUACACAUCCACCGCUUCCUGGUUUUUGCCUCUGCUCGUUGGUGUCGCAAACAGGCCAUCUCAAGUAUUCAUUGGCAUCCGAUUUGUUCUUCUUGGUUACGAUCCUCUAAAAAACUCACAGGUUUCACUGAAGUUUGUUAAUGGCGGAGCUAUUAAUGUCGGUAAAUACGGUCCGAAUUGCACUCAUGUUAUUCUUGAUAAGCUUGUUUGGGUUUUAAAAUUUUCAUUUGUGGUACCAAAUAAUUGGGUUUCUGCAUGUUCAGGUCUACUCUGUCUUAUAUCAAAAACCCAUUUUCUGUUUUAAUUCCCAUGUGUAUUAAUCUUUGUACUCAAAUUGUACCAUAAAGAACAGAUUUGUGAUUUUAAUCGACAUAUAUGGCGAAAAAGUAAGCAGCAAUCAAAAUCAAUUUAUUCUUCGAUCACCGUCUAUUAAGAGGAAACGAACGGACGAAUGAACAGAGCAAACACGCAUAUUCGGUUGCGUAUGCGACCGUUGUGGCGGCAGAAGUAGCGGUGGUAGCCGCCCAUGCUGCCGCUGAAGUCGUUCGCUUGACGUCCAUUGCGCAUCCGUCGAGUAAAUCCGCAGAAGAAAUGGUUGCUACCAAGAUUCAAACAGCUUAUCGCAGGCACUUGGGCGUUGCGUGCUCUUAG
rnacentral:lncRNA from 1 species